UACGGAGGGGGCGAGCGUUGUUCGGAAUUACUGGGCGUAAAGCGCACGUAGGCGGCUUUGUAAGUUAGAGGUGAAAGCCCAGGGCUUAACCCUGGAAUUGCCUUUAAGACUGCAUCGCUAGAAUCGUGGAGAGGUGAGUGGAAUUCCGAGUGUAGAGGUGAAAUUCGUAGAUAUUCGGAAGAACACCAGUGGCGAAGGCGACUCACUGGACACGUAUUGACGCUGAGGUGCGAAAGCGUGGGGAGCGAACAGG
rnacentral:rRNA from 1 species